GCAACCUACGGGAGGCAGCAGUGGGGAAUAUUGCACAAUGGGGGAAACCCUGAUGCAGCGACGCCGCGUGAGUGAAGAAGUAUUUCGGUAUGUAAAGCUCUAUCAGCAGGAACGAGACAAGACGGUACCUGACUAAGAAGCCCCGGCUAACUACGUGCCAGCAGCCGCGGUAAUACGUAGGGGGCAAGCGUUAUCCGGAAUUACUGGGUGUAAAGGGAGCGUAGCCGGUAAUGCAAGUCUGGAGUGAAAGGCGGGGGCCCAACCCCCGGACUGCUCUGGAAACUGUGUAACUGGAGUGCAGGAGG
rnacentral:rRNA from 1 species